UAUACGUAUAUAUAUAUAUACAUAUAUAUACAUACACAAUGGAGUAUUACUCAGCAAUCAAAAAGAAUGAAAUCUUGCCAUUUGCAACUACGUGGAUGGAACUGGAGGGUAUUAUGCUAAGUGACAUUAGUCAGAGAAAGACAAAAAUCAUAUGACUUCACUCAUAUGAGGACUUUAAGAAACAAAACAGAUGAACAUAAGGGAAGGGAAGCAAAAGUAAUAUAAAAACAGGGAGGGGGACAAAGCAGAAGAGAUUCUUAAAUACGGAGAACAAACAGAGGGUUACUGGAGGGGUUGUUGGGGGGGUGCUAAAUGGGUAAGGGGCACGAAGGAAUCUACUGAAAUCAUUGUUGCACUAUAUGCUAACUAAUUUGGAUGUAAAUUAAAAUAAAUUAAAUUAAAAAAAAUUUUUUACAGUUAAUCAUAGUCUAGAGCAGUUGUAGUAUUAUUUUGUUGUCUUCCCAACAGCAAGAGUUGGUUCCCAACCAUUGUGAUUUCAUUCCUCUUUGUUUCUGUCAUAACCAAUUACUAUACCCUCCUUUCAGUAUACCCAGUAGUUUUGGAUUACUCACAGCUUCUGCUUAAACACAUUUUCUGUUUACUCAAGAAUUUGCAUUCUCCUUGUCAUCACUUUUGCCUUUCUCUGUAUAUCUUCAACUUCUGUUUCACAACAACUGAGUAGACCUGUACGUGUCUCAGAUGCAGAUCUCCUCCUAGAAGAGGACCUGCUUGGUGUAAUUAACCUUCAGUGUCCCUGUUCAAGAGUGCUUUCCUGCCAUCCCGUCUUUUAUAUUACUGACCAGCCUUUAUGUAACUACUCUAGACCAAUCAUCUGGGACCAGAAGGGAACCCCAUUCAACAGUGGACUGGAUCAGACUGGCUUCUUCAUAAGGCAGGAGACAUGGCUACAGGCCUCUCUGGCCUCAUAUCCUAACCGCUCCAUAACCAGCAAGCAAAACUGAUGCUUUCAGGUUCUGUUUGAAAAAAUCCUAGGGGAAGGACUCCGUGACUUAUACUGGCUCAUUACCCUUUCCUUAGGCCAGUCUCAGCUGUACAGAACAAAAGUGUGUAUUAGGACAUAAUGCCUUCAAUAAUCUGAGGGAGAAAUUAUUUGUCCCAGAAGUUUAUAACCAACCAAGCUAUCAGCCAUGUGUGAAUGCAAGGACUCAAAAAGUUUAUGUCUGCCAUGCACCUCUCAGGAACUGCUGGAUAAUGUACUCCAGAAGAACAAGAAAAAGGCACACAACUGAUAUAGUAAAUCCAAAAUAGAAAAACGUCAAAAGUACAUUCUAAGGCAAAGGUGUGCCUAAACCCUGCUCUAGAUUUAUUGAUCCUAUUUAUUUAUUUAUUUAUUUAUUUACUUAUUUCGGGGCAGGAGGAAGUAGGGGCUUCAAAAAGAGAUCUCCGGAGGGGAAACUGAUUGAUUAUCUGGUACUCCUGAGCUUUGGGAGGAAAAAUCUGUGGUGGUCCUAUAACAGCACUAGCUGAACAACUGAAACAAUGAUCAAAGUAACAAUAGAAAACUAUACUGGUGGAGGAAAAAAAUGAGGCAAGCCCUGAUUCCAAAAAACAUAAGCUACACAAGGAAGGAAUAAUUAUGAAAUAGUUUUGGUCUCUGCAAUUCUACCUAGGCAAUAAUGUAAACACUGACUAAAAAUUGUGUUAAGGCGGCACCUGGGUGGCUCAGUCAGUUAAGCAUCUGACUCUUGAUUUCGGCCCAGGUCAUGAUCUCUUGGUUCCUGGGAUCGAGCCUUGUGUCGGGCUCCAUGCUGACAGCAUAAGGCCUGCUUGAGAUUCUCUCUUUCCCUCUCUCUCUGCCUUUCUUCUACUCAUGCUCACUUGCUCUUUCUCUCUCCCUCUCCCUCCCUCCCUCUCUCUCUCAAAAUGAGUAAAUAAACUUUUUUUUAAAUGUGGUAUAAGGAUAACAGAGGAAAGGAAAUAAGAGGUUGUGAGUGCUGAAUCAUCACCUAUGAUAAUAAAAAGUCAAUAAAGUCUAAAAUUGAUAAAUCAGGAAAUAAAAGGGUUAGAAUUUCAUUAAUGCCAGAAAAGGCAUCUUAAAAAAAUUCUGGAAGAGAUUGGGAAAGGGUUUUCCUGUUGGCACUAUUUGAUUUUUAAAUAAACUUUUAAAUAUUUUUAAAAUAUUUUAAAUAAAAAAUUUUUAAAGAAAUUUUUAAAUAAAUGUGAUAUAAACUAAACGUUUUAAUGUCAAAAUAGUGAUAGUAUGCAAUGGGUAAGUUCCAACUCUUCUAGUCCGGUGGAGCAAGCACUUUUGUCAUAGAAUUUGCUCUUGCAAAAAUCCUCAGGAAUGGUAAACAAUGAGAGACACAUGCUUAUUUAAUGUUCUCUUAGCCCAAAGGGUAAGAAUCUUCCAAGUUCAUAAUCGUUAAUGGAUACAAAUCUCAAGCAUAAAGAUUCCCCUAAGAGGAAAUCCUAUACCUAGUAUCUAGACUGUAGGACCUGGAGAAUGAAGGUGAACUGGAUGUCCAUGGCCUUUAAAGUUCCACUGCAGUAUGAAACCAUCUAAAGAUAACUAGACCUGAGGUUACCCGAAGCCAGCAGAGUGCUAUUUAUAGCUGUAUGGUAGAUCCCAACUUUGUAUUCCAAUCAUAACACAGUACACUACUAAAGAUCUAUCAUAGUUCAAGUUUCUCCCAUUGAGAUCUAAACUGAAUUUAGGAUUCAGUAACUAGCCAAUGUAAAGAAAAAAGAUUCUGCCUCUAUCUCUCAACAAAUACUUUCUCUGUGGUUGGUUAAGUUACCCACUACAGAAUUUGCAGGCAAGCUAACCCUAAAAUGACAGAUUUCCUCACUUAUGUUUACUAGCGUUUUUAAGAACUUUGGCCCCAUAGAAGCACUCCUCUGAAGAAAAUAGUAUUUUUCCAAAUCAGAGGUUUCCAAAUAUAAAUUAGGCUGCAGCAAUCCAGGCUAUAAUGAACUUAUUUUGUGCAUGAUUAUAAUACUACUGUGAUAUCCUUGGUACUUAAGUUUGGAGGAAAGUACUUCUCUAACAAAAGACCAGUUACUUAGUUUUCCCAUGUUUGUCCCCAUAAUUCCAUGAGAUUUUAAUCCAUUCAGUAUCCAUUUCCUCCUAACAUCUACUCUGGAGCCAUAUAAAGCAACCUAUGCUCUUCAUAUUUUCCCAAGAGUUGAAGAAAAAUUUUUAUUAGCAGAAGCUCUCUGGUUUCAUACCACAGAAGUCUUCCCAGCCUACUUUGUGGAAGUAGAUAAUCCAGCCUCCUUCUCCUGUUUCAGUUUUCAAAAAAGGUAAAAAUGUCUAUCACAAAUGGUAUAUCUCAAAAUUUUGUAUCUAAACUUGAAACUCUCAGGAAUACUCUUAGCCAUCUAGUCUCUCAGCACAAAAUGUGCUCUUGGACCACUUGGAUCGCUAUCAACUGGGGAGCUUACUACAAAUACACAUUUCUGGAACCUCCCAGAUUUACCGAAUCAGAAUUUCUAGAGAGGACCAAGGAAUAUAAUUUCUUCUGUCAACCCAGAUGAUUCUUUUCUGACACCAAUAGAAUUCUAAUUUAGCUGGCACAAAAACCAACACUCAGAUCAAUGGAACAGAAUAGAGAACCCAGAAAUGGACCCAGAAAAGUAUGGCCAACUAAUCUUUGACAAAGCAGGAAAGAAUAUCCGAUGGAAUAAAGACAGUCUCUUCACCAAGCGGUGCUGGGAAAACUGGACAGCAACAUGCAGAAAAAUGAACCUGGACCACUUUCUUACACCAUACACAAAAAUAAACUCAAAAUGGAUGAAAGACCUCAAUGUAAGACAGGAAGCCAUCAAAAUCCUCGAGGAGAAAGCAGGCAAAAACCUCUUUGAUCUUGCCCGCAGCAACUUCUUACUCAACAAGUCUCUGGAGGCAAGGAAACAAAAGCAAAAAUGAACUAUUGGGACCUCAUCAAAAUAAAAAGUUUCUACACAGCAAAGGAAACAAUCAGCAAAACUAAAAGGCAACCAACAAAAUGGGAGAAGAUAUUUGCAAAUGACAUAUCAGAUAAAGGGUUAGUAUCCAAAAUCUAUAAAGAACUUACCAAACUCAACACCCAAAAAACAAAUAAUCCCAUGAAGUAAUGGGCAAAAGACAUGAAUAGACACUUCUCCAAAGAAGACAUCCAGAUGGCCAACCGACACAUGAAAAAAUGCUCAGCAUCACUCAUCAUCAGGGAAAUACAAAUCAAAACCACAAUGAGAUACCACCUCACACCUGUCAGAAUGGCUCACAUUAACACCUCAGGCAACAACAGAUGUUGACGAGGAUGCAGAGAAAGAGGAUCUCUUUUGCACUGCUGGUGGGAAUGCAAACUGGUGCAGCCACUCUGGAAAACAGUAUGGAGGUUCCUCAAAAAACUAAAAAUAGAACUACCCUACAGCCCAGCAAUUGUACUACUAGGCAUUUAUCCAAGGAACACAGGUGUGCUGUUUCAAAGGGACACAUGCAUCCCAAUGUUUAUAGCAGCACUGUCAACAAUAGCCAAAGUAUGGAAAGAGCCCAAAUGUCCAUCGAUGGAUGAAUGGAUAAAGAAGAUGUGGUAUGUAUAGACAAUGGAGUCUUACUCAGCAAUCAAAAAGAAUGAAAUCUUGCCUUUUGCAACUACAUGGAUGGAACUAGAGGGUAUUACGCUAAGCGAAAUUAGUCAGAGAAAGACAAAUAUCAUAAGGCUUCACUCACACGAGGACUUUAAAAUACAAAACAGAUGAACAUAAGGGAAGGGAAGCAAAAAUAAUAUAAAAACAGGGAGGGGGACAAAACAUAAGAGACUCUUACAUAUGGAGAACAAACAGAGGGUUACUGGAGGGGUUUUGGGAGGGGGGAUGGGCUAAAUGGGUAAGCGGCCCUAAGGAAUCUACUCCUGAAAUCAUUGUUACACUAUAUGCUAACUAAUUUGGAUGUAAAUUUAAAAAAAAAGAAUUCUAAUUUAGUAUUGGGUUGUUGGCUUUUAUUUGUCAAAGGUUGCUGUGAGAUACACACAAAUAAAAUCUCUAUCUUUUUUUUAAUGCUA